AAAAAACAAGUAUCAAUGUAUCUAAAGCUUCGAGUCCUUUAACCCCCCAAACAAAUCAAUCUGUUUCCGUGUCAUGCCGCCGCCGGCUUCUAUCAAAACGGCAGGGCAACCUCCUCUACCUCUUCUAUUUCUCAUUGUCCAAUGAGAUCUAUUUAUUAGCUUAAACACAUGAUGUUCACAAGUGCUCCGUUUCUAGGCAUAAAGAUUAAUCAGGUGCAUGAUCGAUGAGAAGGUGUACGCGUAUGUUCGGGAGGUUGUCUGCAUCUCGCCGGACUAACAGAUUGCAUCGGAAGGAUUCGUUGCGCUGCACCAGCCAACGCUGCAGACCAAUGCGACCAUGACCGGCCAACCCUGAAGGCCAGUACAGACAUGAUUUUAUUUCUAACUGGCGAUCAUUGGUGUCUAUCACGUGUCUGUGGUUGCAGCCGGAAGAAAUUAAUCCCCGAUACAUGUAUGUAGGUUCGUACCUACUAGCACUUCUGGAUGGAUUUAUUUUUUUGGAUGGAACAACAUCUGCGGGAAUCAAUUACCUGUUUCGGAAGUCAGCAACUCAGUUAGUUAGUAUACGUUCGCGUACGGGUGUUUCUGCAAUAUGAGUCCCAAAUGAAUCAUGUUUCUCUCUGCCGACAGAGCCUGACCUGCUCCUUUUCUGUUUGACCAUUGUGAUCCAUGUUCCUUUUCCGUUUGACUAUUGUGAUAUUGUCCGUAGAUCCGGUUGUCUUCUCCAGCUUUUCCCGAAGUAUACCUAAGAUGGCAACACUAUAUAAAUACCUCCUGAAGGAGCUAAUUGGGAUUAGGCACUUCUCAGUCACUAGCUUGGCUAUGGGCUAUGGCAUUCUCUUCCCCCCGCUUCGUGAUUUCUUAUCGAGACCAAGAGCCAGGUAAGCAUGGUACGAUUGGUUAAGAAUAUCAUGUUACACUUAUCUUAACUGAGUUUGAAUUCCUCUACUAUUUUGUUGUUGACCCGACUGAGAUGACUUGAAUAUGUCUAUGCCCGCCCCACUACGAUUUGUUGGCACACAUCAGAUGCGUUUGUGUUAGACAAGAGCUUACAUGCAGGCUAACCGCCCUAGGAGGGAAAAGUCGGCCAUAUUUGUUGUCAUUUGGUGUGUGAGAAACUGAAAACUAAUAGUUUUGUGAAGAGCAAAGAGGAUAUAGAUGUCGUGCUGCAAUGAAAUACAUGUUUCUAUAGUCGAUAUUCGGGUGAGAUGAUACUGC
rnacentral:lncRNA from 1 species